GGAGCCACCCAGCCUAGAUUGGCCAAUGGUUCUAGCACAUUUUAGGGUGCACCUCUCAUCAACCAAUAGAAAUAAUUUGUUUGACUUUAUUUGUUUUGUGAGUGACUCAUUGAAUUCCUUCCUCUUGGCACAAGCCAUAAAAAUUUAGUUGUUUCUAUUUUGAAAUUUAUGCAAGGAACAAGAUUGAUUGGUAGUGUUAGAAUUUCUCUCUCUCCCUCUCGGGUUCUCCCUUGGUUUGUGUCCUCCUAACUUGUAGGGGUGCACAACCUACUCGAGCUCGACUCGUAAGUUUAAACGAGCUGCUUCAUUAGUUAAAUAAGUCGAGCUCAAGUUUAUGAGUCAACUCGUUUAACUAAUCGAGUCGAGCUCAAAUUCAUUCUAGUGGACUCGUUAAAGCUCCACUCGGUUCGAUUAACAUACCGGUUUAAAAAAGACCGGUUCAGCUGUCUCACUUCUUCUCAGGCGGGAACGGGACGACUCUCCCUCUCUCGGUCUCUCCGACUUCUCCUUCUCCGCAUGUGCUCCCGCCCCCGCCCUGCUUCACUGCUUGUGCUUCUUCUCCGCCUGUGCUCUGCGCUCCUGCUGCCCUGCGUCAGUGUGCUCUCCGCUUCUCCAGUAAGUCAGUGACACUCAAAGGCAGCGCAUCCCAAGACUUUUCAGCCAAGGUUCCUGCGUGUGCUCUCCACUUCAGCCUUCUCCCUUCAGCUUUCAGCCCAGGCCCCAAGGUUCCUACCUAUGCAUGCUUAUGAAGUUUGAGGCUGCCACCGCUUUGAUCUCCCCUUGUUGACGAAGACUGUCGGCGUCUGGUUCUGCCAUUCUGGUGACCCUGGUAAAACACUGGCAGCUCUCUUCGUCUCUCGUUGCAGUGAGCCAGUUUCAUGUGAGUGUCGUCGCCUUCAAUCGAUCUCUCGAUCUCCCCUUGCAUCUCCUUCUGAGAAACCACAACUUAGUUAUGAGCAGCAGAGGGCUUUCAACACUAAGCAAUGUGCAGAGGGGGGGGUUCGGGCAGGACUGAAGGCAUCAUCCAUUGCUGGUGUGGCUAGCACCAUUCCAACGAAAACAAAGCCACAUUAUCGAAGCAUUAGGGAAUUAAGGGCACUAGGACUGACACCCCAUUUACUGGCUUGUCGAUCUGCUCAGCAUGUUGUUAGCAUAUGUAUUAGCAUUUGGUAUCAUGUGCCAUAUACGCCAAAAGGGGAACUCCACAACUUUUUUGAAUAUCAGCAUCAGAGGCAAUGGAUUCCUGCACCAGAUGACAGUAAACAACCUUGCCCUAUAAAGCUUCAAUUCACAAUGUUGGGCCGAAAGCUCCAUGUGAACACAAGACCAUUAAGUUGACUCUGGAAGGAAACCUGUAACAGGAAUCUGUCUGUUCCUAGAAGGAGAUGUUGUUGAAGAGAAGUUCACCAUCCAUAUCCAACACCUCCCCUCACUACCUGCGUUCCUGAUCUUCUCCAAUGAGCUUGCCUAUGGAUCUGGUAUUGUUAACGACAAGUGCCAGACACUGUUCACAUGUAUGUAUUGCACCUGUUGAGUGCACUCUGGCUAUGACUGACAAAUCGGCCUGGAUAGUAACACUUGAAAAUAAACUUAACCCGAUUAUGUUGGUCUCUCAUUGGAAUGUGCAUUGGAUGCCACAAAUCUGAAUGAAUAGGUAAAAUCUGCUGGUCAUACUAAUUUUCUGUUAGGUGGCAUUGCACACUGCACAAAAAAAAGUAAUGGCAUAAUUGAAUGGUUGAACUGACAGCAGCAAACUAUGUAUUCGAGCCUUAAUCGAGCUCACGGUCGAGCUUGAGCUGGAUGACUGUAAAUGAGUUUAUCGAGCUUAAUCGAGUCGAGCUCGAGCUCGACAAGUGACUAUCGAGUCGAGUUCGGGCCAGUAUAGUCGAGCUAUAUUCGAGCUCGAGCCGAGUCAAGCUCGUGUCUUACUUAGUCGAGCCGAGUUCGAGCUGACCGAGCUCGGGCUCGAUUUGGCUCGUGUUCAGCCCUACUCCUAAGCAGUGCCACUGAUCGCCUAGUUGACCAUCAGCCAUCUCUUUUUACUGUCGUGCAUCCCAACUACUGCCAACUGUAGAUCGCCACCAUCCUCCUAGGUAUUGCAGCUCUCCUUAUUUUUCCUUAAUUCCAGCCUAAUAUUGGUAGUCUCCUUGUGUCUUCACGUGGUCCAUUCGUCACAACUAUGCCCAAAUGUGGAGCUUUCUAGCACGCAAGGAGAACACACACUACUGCCUCAUCAACAACUCUACCCCAGACGCGAAGCCCUCCCCAGAAUCAAGCGCUCUAAGCCGGUAUGCUCUUCAACUCUUCAACUGGCUGAUCCAAGACCUUGGCUCACUUGCUGGUCAGGACAACAAGUCCUGGGAACCAAUGGGCUGCCGGGUGCACAUGAGGAGACACUGCGGCGAUCCAGCCUGGCCCAUGGCACUGCACACCUUCACCAGCAAAAGUGAGUGAUCCUUGUUCAGUAAGCUUCGUAUUGAGGGUGGCAAUCUGUCUUGGCUGAUUCUUGCCCUGAUGUCUUGUUCGGGCAUGCACAUUGUAUUGCUAGACCAGCAAGAGGCUAGUCGCAUCUACAAGAUCCUCUGUUAAGGAGGAGCACUCGCACCACUAAGCAUGGAUGCGGGCUGAUCUCUUGAGUGUUUGGGCCACUGAGUGAAGACCCGCAUCAUGAUGACAUGUAUUUGGAUUUUGAUGAAAUCACUGUAAGUAGAGAAUAUUCCCUGGUCUUUGUUCCAUUGAAGAAUUUGGGGGCUUUGACACCAUUGAAAACAUUUUCACAGUAGACCAACAAUACUAUAUAAGAUCUAAGGCUUGGGAAAUUAAAAUAUAACAUGAAGAAAGAACUCAUUUAUGUACAUAUUAACAUUAAGGUGGGUAUAUAGUUCUUUCUUUUAAAGAAUUAAAAUAAAACAUUGGAAUCCAACCGAGAGUUUUAGUGGAGAAAAACAUCAAAAGCUAACUAAGGUGCUUUAAGCUUGGUGUGAUGAAAAAUUAGAUUGGAUAAAGGUGUAAUUCAGCUACAACUCAGAACUACUUAGUCCUAUAAUUUCCUCAAGUUGUCUAAUUCUAUAAUUUAAGUUGUUUCUCUAGAAUCAGCCAAAAUUGAGUAAGAAAUCAAUUAUGUUGUAGCAAGAUCAGAGUGUGAUUCUCAGCUCGUUGCAUAGAAGGUGUUCUUCAUUCUUAUGUACAGUAUAUAUAUAUUAGAAAAAUGAAAUUAGAAGAUAUGUCUCUCUUCAGCAUA